rnacentral:tRNA from 1 species
GUCCCAGAAACUCAAUACAGAGUAAUAUUUUGAAAAGAUAGAGGCUGCAGGUUCAAAUCCUGUCUAGGACA